UUCUACAUUUAUAAGGGGAUGUAAACGGAUGCAAAUACUCAUGCAGUCUAGGGGUGCCAAGUGUAUGAGUUCCCCAGAUGUAUGUCUCUGUAUUUGUGUAUGGUUUAUGCAGGUGUCACUUCUGACCUUUACUGCUACCUAGCAUGGAGACUUUCAAGGGUGCUGUGAUAUUGUGAAAGGUACUUAGCCAAUCUAUACUUAAAAAAAAAAAUUAUUCAUUUGAGAGAGAGCAUGAGCUGGGGUGGGGGCAGAGGGAGGGGAGAGGGAGAAGCGGACCCCCCCCCAGCAAGACCCAGAGGUCAUGACCCGAGUCCAAGGCGGUGGCCCCUAUCUAUACUUUCUGUGAGGAAAGCACUGUGUUACCGGAUGUGUGUGUGUGUGUAAUGUGUGAUGCAGCCUGAAGCCCUACAUAUGAAAUCAAUAAAGGGGAAUGGAACCAUUUCUUUCAGAAGAUCCCCCGGACUCCCUUCGACCCCAGCGCCCCAUAGCACUGCAGUCCGCGUUCAGUCCACUGGGCGGUGGCUCCAAGCGUUUACCUGUGCUCCCCACCAGCGCUGUGGGCCUUUCCUCACAUCCUGGGCCUGUCUGUCCCCUUGGCCGCGCAGGGCAGAUCCUCGGGGCAGUUCGCCUGCUGUGCACAGGUUCAGCGAGAAAAGGAACCUCAUAAUCAACCAUACAUCUGUAAUGCCUCUUACAGUGUGUGAUGUCUCAGCCAACCGUUACCACUGACUUCCAUGGAUUACGGUACCUGCCACUCUGGCUUCAUUCUAACGUAUCUGAUGGCCGGAGCUUGAGCAGCCAGUGCACAGUGAGGAAGGUGUGAUGGAAGAAUAAGGUAAGAUGAACUUAGUUUUGAUUAGUUUGCCUUUGCAUGAGAAAUUAAAAAUCU
rnacentral:lncRNA from 1 species